UAGGGAAUCUUCGGCAAUGGACGAAAGCCUGACCGAGCAACGCCGCGUGAGUGAAGAAGGUUUUCGGAUCGUAAAACUCUGUUGGUAGAGAAGAACGUUGGUGAGAGUGGAAAGCUCAUCAAGUGACGGUAACUACCCAGAAAGGGACGGCUAACUACGUGCCAGCAGCCGGGGUAAUA
rnacentral:rRNA from 1 species